GAACUUUUGAACGCCAAGAAGUUCAGUUCGAAAAUUGGUAUGGUGGGUGUACUACUGAUAAUCUCAAACUUGUUGCUCUCAACUUCAGUAAAAGAAUUUCUGGGAAUAGAUAAAUGUGCGUAUGCAAAGUGUUGUGUGAUGGGAUGUGUCUUGUGGCUGGGUUAAUUAGCUAGAGAUCUCAAUUAGCUAUGCCGGGGCAGAUCCUUUGUGUAUGUACAGUUUAGGCCAAGAAGAGAAGCAAACGUGUUGCUCAUCAUUUGCCAUCAUCCAUCUACUCAAAUUAUGUUCAUAUUUUUCAGUUCAUCUUUGAAAUUUUGGUCCAUUUUCUUUUGGCAAGAUGCGUAAAAAACUCAAAGGCAGCAACUAAAAAAUAGAUGAAUAUUGGUAGGAAGAUGUAUAAGGCUCAUAGGAAGUGGCAUCUUGAGUUCAACAAUUGGUGGUUCUUCAGGUCACUAUAGCGUGCAUUUUCAGUACAUCUUCCAGACUCUUGGACUUUCACAUGCUCUGCCUUCAUUCAUGUAGAUCUGCAACCCUAAUGUUGGUUUAGUGAACGCUCGAGCCACAACAGCUCCUAGGCCGUUCAGCGUCAGCACCAUAGUCCGUUCACCGCCGACACCCAAGGCCGUUCACCGACGCAACGAUGAGGUCUGGCCAUCGUCACCCACGACCGCGCACUCACAUCUCUCCAGCUUAAAGUAGUGUCCUCUAGCUGCAGGACGCGUUCUCCUCCAGCUGCAGGCCAAUGCUAUGGUGCACAUUCAAGGCAGCAUGCAGACCACAGGUCGCAGCGCCGCCGUCGACCACAUGUGCGCAUGCGUGCGAUUAUUGCAUGUGUGCGUUAGGUAUGCAUCUCAAUGCCUCCGCCCUUCCUCUUUCCACGUAGCAUAUUCUGAAGAAAAAAAAUAGAUGCUUUCAACUAAAUAAAAAAAUGCGUCGCACAAGUUCAGGUACAACCGCUGCAGGACUUCAGAAAUCUGAACAAACAAAGCUCAAACCAAAAGCUAAUGUGCGUGUCAUGUCCAAUUUUUUCUUUUGAUACAGUUCAAUAUCUAAAAUCCGUUCAGUUUAAUUAUUAUGCAUCGCCCUGGCAACACAUUGCGCAGCCACCGACCUCCUCUUGUUGGGUCACACCACCACCGGCCGGUCCACAAUGGUUGCUGGCAGCCGUCCAAGUUCAGAGCUGAUGGUAGUCCCCUGCAUGCGUCAACGACACUCUCACGGUUCUUGUUAGGACUCAGGGCAUGAGCUCGUCCAGCAGGGGUGCUGGCAGCCGUCCAAGUGGAGCGUUGACACCAGUACAAGUAGAAUCGCGGGUCAUGGCCACCAACUUCAUCAAGUGCUGCACAUCCGUCCAAGUCGAGCACGCUCUGGGAGAACACCAGCGCCUUUGCUUUGCACAUUGCUUGGUCAUGCAUGAUUGCUGAUGGAUGUAGCAAGCGUUUUAUUAGUUUGAUCUUCUGUAUUUUGUCUCAGUUUUCGUGGAUGCUAGCCGGCAAGUGACAUGAUUUUGGUUGCUUCUCUCUGUAGCAGAUUCCAUCCGCACAAAAAAUGCUACUUCGGUUUGUUCUAUGUAAAAAAUGAAUAAGGUUCAAUUCACAAAAAAUGUGGAUGUUUGCUUGGGAAAUUCUGCAGUACAUUUGAUUACACCAAGAUGUACAGAAUGACUAAUUCUUUA